GCAACUUCAGCAGCACAUACUAAAAUUAAAGUGAUACAGAGAAGAUUAGCACGGCCCCUGUGCAAGGAUGACACAUAAAUUUGUGAAGCAAUUCAUAUUUUU